UACGAAGGGGGCUAGCGUUGUUCGGAAUUACUGGGCGUAAAGCGCGCGCAGGCGGUUCUUUAAGUCAGGGGUGAAAUCCCAGGGCUCAACCCUGGAACUGCCUUUGAUACUGUCGAUCUGGAGUAUGGAAGAGGUGAGUGGAAUUCCGAGUGUAGAGGUGAAAUUCGUAGAUAUUCGGAGGAACACCAGUGGCGAAGGCGGCUCACUGGUCCAUUACUGACGCUGAGGUGCGAAAGCGUGGGGAGCAAACAGG
rnacentral:rRNA from 1 species